GAUGAACGCUGGCGGCGUGCCUAAUACAUGCAAGUCGAGCGAACAGACGAGGAUCUUGCUCCUCUGACGUUAGCGGCGGACGGGUGAGUAACACGUGGAUAACCUACCUAUAAGACUGGGAUAACUUCGGGAACCCGGAGCUAAUACCGGAUAAUAUAUUGAACCGCAUGGUUCAAUAGUGAAAGACGGUUUUGCUGUCACUUAUAGAUGGAUCCGCGCCGCAUUAGCUAGUUGGUAAGGUAACGGCUUACCAAGGCAACGAUGCGUAGCCGACCUGAGAGGGUGAUCGGCCACACUGGAACUGAGACACGGUCCAGACUCCUACGGGAGGCAGCAGUAGGGAAUCUUCCGCAAUGGGCGAAAGCCUGACGGAGCAACGCCGCGUGAGUGAUGAAGGUCUUCGGAUCGUAAAACUCUGUUAUUAGGGAAGAACAAAUGUGUAAGUAACUAUGCACGUCUUGACGGUACCUAAUCAGAAAGCCACGGCUAACUACGUG
rnacentral:rRNA from 1 species